CAAACCAAAGCUGGCGACCGGCGCACGGGUGAGUAACACGUAUCCAACCUGCCUCAUACUCGGGGAUAGCCUUUCGAAAGAAAGAUUAAUAUCCGAUAGCAUAUAUUUCCCGCAUGGGUUUUAUAUUAAAGAAAUUCGGUAUGAGAUGGGGAUGCGUUCCAUUAGUUUGUUGGGGGGGUAACGGCCCACCAAGACUACGAUGGAUAGGGGUUCUGAGAGGAAGGUCCCCCACAUUGGAACUGAGACACGGUCCAAACUCCUACGGGAGGCAGCAUG
rnacentral:rRNA from 1 species